GAUGAACGCUAGCGGCAGGCCUAAUACAUGCAAGUCGUACGGCAACACAGUUGCGAGCAAUCGCAACCGGUGGCGAGUGGCGCACGGGUGAGUAACGCGUAUGUAACCUACCCUUCUCCGGGACAUAACUCCGCGAAAGCGGUGCUAAUAUCCCAUACCAACUCAUCAAGACAUCUUCUUGAGUUGAAAGCAGCAAUGCGGUGAAGGAUGGGCAUGCGUCCCAUUAGCUGGUUGGUGAGGUAAUGGCCCACCAAGGCUACGAUGGGUAGGGGUUCUGAGAGGAAAGCCCCCCACACUGGUACUGAGACACGGACCAGACUCCUACGGGAGGCAGCAGUAAGGAAUAUUGGGCAAUGGUCGAAAGACUGACCCAGCCAUGCCGCGUGCAGGAUGAAGGCCCUAUGGGUUGUAAACUGCUUUUCCCCGGGAAGAAUAAGCCCCCCGCGGGGGUCGAGUGCCGGUACCGGGGAAUAAGGAUCGGCUAACUCCGUGCCAGCAGCCG
rnacentral:rRNA from 1 species